AUGGGGGGCACGGGUCGGGCAGGAGGGGGAUCCAGGAUGCUGGGGAGGAAAUGGGAACGUGACACGGGGGGAUGGAGGGUACCGGCGGGCGAUGGAGGGACGUGGAUCGGGCAGGAGGGCGACCCAGGAUGCUGGGGAGGAAAUGGGGACGUGACACCGGAGGAGCCAGGGCGCGGGCCAGGCGAUGAGGGAACGCAGGAGGGGGCCCCAGGAUGCUCAGGAGGCCAUGGGGACGCGACACGGGGGGAUGGAGGGCGCAGGCGGGCGAUGGGGGGCACGGGUGUCGGGCGCGGGGGGGAGGGAACCCAGGAUGCUGGGGAGACAAUUGGGCCGUGUCAUGGGGGGAUCCAGGGCGCAGGCCGGGCGGUGAGGGACUCAGUGGCAGCCGGCCAUACAGAAGGAAAAAUGAAUUUGCAUGGCCAGGAAAGCAUUUGGGGGGUGUGGAUGGUUCCCUGUUCCGUUUUUCAUCUGACGUCAUUUUUCUUCCUGGUCCAGGGGCCUCCUGGAUGCUUGGAGCAGAAAGAAGGCACUGGUAGUUGGGUGGUUCCCCAGGAUCAGCCCCUUAGCUAACAGAAGAAGCAGGAUUAGGCUCACCAUCUGGAUCACUGAGAGAGACUGGAACAGUGAAACGUACAGGUAGCUUGGUUUCACUCUCUGACCCAGAGUUAAGAUUCUGUGCCCUAAACCCGCCUUUGCCACUGCGGCCUUUUUCUCCCCAACACCUGACAGCACGUUCAUUUCUUUGUAGCACCAGCUUGGGGAAGAGUUGAAGACAAGCCACAAAAAGAGAACUGAACAGUGCUGGUUCCAAACCCGACGUGUGUCAGAAGAGCCCCCAUGCUGUGCUGAAAGCUGACCCACGCACACAGCUUGGGGCAGCUAGGAGCUGCUGUCUCCUUGUACAAUGUCCUUUCACUCAGGACACUGGACACAUCUUUUGAAGCUAAGCAGUCCAAGCUGUGGUGUCAGCAUCGAGGCAGACACCUGACAAGGGCCCGCCGAGGUGGGCGCCCCAUCUCUGCAAACUCCACACCUAGUAAAGUGCACACAGCUGUUACCUGGGAACACUGCAGCCAGGGCGCCACUCUGACCUGCUGUCUCCAUGUGGUUCUUAGGUGUCUUUUCAGGAUACUCCUCUCAAGUCUCCUUGCAAUACAACUCUCCUAAGGCUGUUGCCUGCAAAUGGCCUGAAUUCCUCAUUUCUGCCUUCAAGUUACACAGGGACUCCUCACACCCAGCGGUGGAGAAACUUGUCCAGCAGUGAAUUUAGUGCAAAGCAGUGGGCAGCAGUCCACACGGCAGGACCGGCUCAGAGAGGCUGCGAGGGCAGGAGCCCAGAAGAGCGCAGGUUGCGGCCAGGGAUGAGUGGCCGCGUCCCGCUGGCAGAGAAAGCCCUGUCUGAAGGCCAUGCCCGGCUCCGGUACAGGGACACCUCCCUGCUCAUCUGGCAGCAGCAGCAGCAGAAGCUGGAAUCCGUGCCACCCGGGACAUAUCUGAGCAGGAGCCGAAGCAUGUGGUACUCACAGUAUGGAAACGAGGCCAUCUUAGUCCGGGACAGAAACAAGCUUGAGGUCUCCCGGGACACGGGCCAGUCCAAGUUUUGCACAAUUAUGUAAUUCCAAGAUGAAAACCAGGGCUCUGAGGAAAACAGGCCUGUGUCUCAUUCCGCUGUUUUGUUGCUAUCUGGGCCUCAGUGGGAUAGUCUGAAUAGUGACCGUGAAGACCAAGCUGUGGCCUAAGAACCCGAGAUCCCAGAAAGGGCCCCCCGCGUCCUGCCUCGCAGCAUCCGUGUGAGGGUCCCGCCUCAGCUUCUGAGCAUAGCAGGCCCGGCCCGGCCCGGGGCACUGCUGGAUGCUGCUUAUCUGUCAAGCUUCCAAAUAAAUCAAGCGAGAGGGACA
rnacentral:lncRNA from 1 species